AGCUGGACUCUGAGUCAUGUGAUGCCCAGCAGUGUAAUGGACAUGGGAAAUGUGUGACAAGGGGUGGAGAAACCACCUGCCAGUGUGUUCUGGGAUACCAUGGUGUGUUCUGUGAGGAGGGUGAGGGUCCAGGGGUCAGUAAUGCCCCCCUCACUUUGGGCAUCCUCAGCCUCAUUGGUGGAGUCCUCAUCGCUGCUGUCAUCAUCAGGAAGAGCAGAGUAAGAGCUGCAGCUCGGGGCCAGUCCACAGACAAGGAGACUCUGAUGACCAAUAUGGAUGAACAGGCAGUCUACGCUCUGUCUUUCAACAACGAUCUGUAUGAUCCUGACCAGGAAUUUAUCUCGUCUGCUGAUGGGACAACUCAACAUCUGUAAAUGUUGCCUUUUCU